GUAAUACCUCAUUUUCCUGUGGUUGCUUCUGACAUGCUGAUACUGUAAAAGGUGGCCUUCAAGAAGAUAUUUUCAUACAAUAGUAUGGUAACUUGCACUUUGCACAACAAAACAGCUUACCCGAACAGAACAUCAUUGGUCAGAAAUUGCAUUAAAUGGGAGCAGAAGACCACAGGAGCCUGUGGCUGGAAUGGCAAAAAUGGUGAGGGAGCUCAUUCUCCUCUGUUUAUCCCCAAACAUAUGAUCUCUUUCUCUGAAACAUG
rnacentral:lncRNA from 1 species